rnacentral:rRNA from 1 species
AUUGAACGCUGGCGGCAGGCCUAACACAUGCAAGUCGAGCGAGCGGGGGGCGGGUGAGUAAUGUCUGGGAAACUGCCUGAUGGAGGGGGGGAACUCCUGGAAACGGUAGCUCAUACCGCGUACCAUCAGAUGUGCGCCGAUGGGGUUUGCUAGUAGGUGGGGUAACGGCUCACCAAGGCGACGAUCCCUAGCUGGUCUGAGAGGAUGACCAGCCACACUGGAACGGAGACACGGUCCAGACUCCUACGGGAGGCAGCAGUGGGGAAUAUUGCACAAUGGGCGCAAGCCUGAUGCAGCCAUGCCGCGUGUGUGAAGAAGGCCUUCGGGUUGUAAAGCACUUUCAGCGGGGAGGCGUUACCCGCAGAAGAAGCACCGGCUAACUCCGUGCCAGCAGCCGCGGUAAUAC